GGGACUACAGGGGUUUCUAAUCCCGUUCGCUACCCUGGCUUUCGUGCCUCAGCGUCAGACAAGCCCCAGUGCACCGCUUUCGCUUCUGGUGUUCCUUCCAAUAUCAACACAUUUCACCGCUCCACUGGAAGUUCCGUGCACCCCUAGCUCACUCAAGCCGGCCGGUUUCAAGCGCAGUUCCACGGUUGAGCCGUGGGAUUUCACACCUGACCUGGUCGGCCGCCUACGCACCCUGUAAGCCCAGUGAUUCCGAAUAACGUUUGCGCAGUUCGUAUUACCGCGGCUGCUGGCACG
rnacentral:misc_RNA from 1 species